GUACGGACGGUCCGACAUUCAACUUUCACUUAAGCUAUCUUCUUCUAUUUUAUUAUUAUUCCCAAAAUUUAUUAUUUUAGUUUUCGAGUUCUGGUCAGAUUUUGCAAUCAGAUGCGGAUUCGAUGAUAUCAAUCAGCUUUUCUAAUUGUUGGAAACUUCCAAUUUUGUUGUUGAAACAUCGUGUUUUCUCUAAUUCGUUUGUUGAACAACCAAAAUGUUUCUUCUAUUUGUUUCAUAUUCAUAUAUAUAAUUUUUGAGAAUAUCAUAUAGACAUACUUUGGAUAUAUUUUCGUUAUGCAUUCAAGAGGGUUUUUAACAAAUUGUAGUGAUAGUUAUAGUAGACUUGUAGUGUAAUUUAUUCAAAUUUAAUCAUGUCCAAACGACAUACCAAUAUAUAAACUUUCCCUCGAAAUUAAGAAAAUAUCAUCCUUGAUAUUUAUACGAUGGGACAAUAACCAAUAUAACCACGAGAAUUUUAGUUAAUAGUUUGUACGAAUCUAUUAGUGGACCUAAUUAUAAGUGGUCCAAAGCUGUUUGGUUCAAACACUCGGUGCCCAAGCAUGCAUUCAACUUCUGGAUUGCUAACAUGAACCGUCUCCCUGUUAGAGCAAGGUUAUUAUUAUGGGGAAUGAACAUUCCUUCACAUUGCCUCUUCUGCAACUCUCAGCUUAGCCAUCAUCCAUGCAUCUUUGUCAACUGGUCCACUCUGAUCUCUUGGUUAAUGUCCAAAUCUCCAAAUCUCUCGUCCUCCCUAAAGGAUAUAGCAGUUCAGGCAACUAUAUAUUUAUAUGUUGUGGAGGGAAAGGAACAGAAGGCUCCAUGAUGGCAUAUCACUAUCCCCCUCUGCAAUUUGCGCCCAGAUUGAUUGCAGUGUUAGAGACACCCUCUUUGCUCGCCUGUAUCGGAAAGGAUGCGGCCGUCUACUUUCUCAAUGGUUCGCCAAUGGUUAAUUAAACCAGUUAACAUUUUAGUUCCUAUAGAUUUUUAAUUUUUUUUUUGGUCAUAGCUGCUCCGUUUUUUACCCCUAAAGUCUUGUACUUAACAAUGUUCCAUCCGGUUAUAUAAUUCACAUUUUAUCAAAAAAAAAA